rnacentral:lncRNA from 10 species
UCUCAUUUUUCUACUGCUCGUGGAUUUACGCGCACGUUGGAACCGAAGAGAGCUCUGUUGUUGCAAUGUUCAGCCCACAAGAGCUUACUGGUGAAGGAAUGGGACAAGACCCAUCUUUAUGCAAAGCCAGCGUUACAGUAAUGUUCCAGGUAUUCCUGAUGACAGUCUGCCUCUAUCUUACAGAGCAGCUUGUUGCUAUAUACCAUUGAAAAGCCUUCAGAGCUGAGAGGUACUACUAACCAAUAACCUGCUUGGCUCAAAGGGCCAGCACCUUCUCUCUAAAGCCCAAGAGGAGUUUGAGGAAAACUAGGUGUCUGUGUUCACUCCAGGCUGAAGUUACAGGUCUGAGCAAAUAAGGUGUAUAAAAAAUGGAAUCUGUCUUGGAGGACAUCAGAAGGUGAAUUUUCCAAGUUCUUGGACAACCUAGCUGUUGAAAAGCUUUCUGGGUUUGGGGGGUAUUUCAGAUGUACCUUAAAGUGUUAGCAGACACAGAUUAAGACACUGGGAGCCAAUGAAACAGCAGUUGAGGGUUUGCUGUGUAUCACAUUUCUGUAUUUUAUCACCCCCUUCCUGCAACAUUAUUUAUCUGGAAUCUACCUGCCCUUUUGUUUUUUAGAUACAAGGGCUUGGUUUUGUUACCCAGGCUGGUUUCAAGGCCAUAGCUUUAAGAGAUCCUCUCACCACAGAUUUCCAAAGUGCUGGGAUUGCAGGUGUGAUUCAUGGCACCCAGACUUUGCUGCCUUUCUUACAUGAUCCAGGCCCAGAACCCAAACUCAGGCACUGUAUAGAUGACCACUUUCGUAAACUACUGACCUAGCUUGUUGCCAAUUGUUGAUUGAACUUCCCAUAACUCCACUUCGUGUCUGUUCCUCUGUAUACAGCCACCUUCUGUUCCCGUCAUGAGCCUUUAGGUCUCCAUUUGCAUAUUGCAAAUACUAUGUUCCAUGUAGGUAGCUCAUUCAGGGCCUUGCUCUUCACUUCAAAAAAGGUUCCCUUGAGGACUGGCUGUCAAUUUGUGUUGCUGUGUUGGUUGUUGAUGAAAAUAAUAAAAUGAUUGAUUACAUAGUCCUGUU